UACGGAGGGGGCAAGCGUUAUUCGGAAUUAUUGGGCGUAAAGGGCGCGUAGGCGGCUAGAUGUGUCAAAGGUGAAAUCCCUCGGCUCAACUGAGGAACUGCCUUUGAAACUGUCUGGCUUGAGGCCGGGAGAGGGUAGCGGAAUUCCCAGUGUAGCGGUGAAAUGCGUAGAUAUCCGGAGGAACACCGGUGGCGAAGGCGGCUUCCUGGACCGAUACUGACGCUGAGGCGCGAAAGCUAGGGGAGCAAACGGG
rnacentral:rRNA from 1 species